rnacentral:rRNA from 1 species
CCUCAAAUCAGGUAGGACUACCCGCUGAACUUAAGCAUAUCAAUAAGUGGAGGAAAAGAAACUAACAAGGAUUCCCCUAGUAACUGCGAGUGAAGCGGGAAAAGCUCAAAUUUAAAAUCUGGCGGCUUCGCCGUCCGAGUUGUAAUCUGGAGAAGCGUUUUCCGUGUUGGACCGUGUACAAGUCUCUUGGAACAGAGCGUCAUAGAGGGUGAGAAUCCCGUCUUUGACACGGACUACCAAUGCUUUGUGAUACGCUCUCGAAGAGUCGAGUUGUUUGGGAAUGCAGCUCAAAAUGGGUGGUAAAUUCCAUCUAAAGCUAAAUAUUGGCGAGAGACCGAUAGCGAACAAGUACCGUGAGGGAAAGAUGAAAAGCACUUUGGAAAGAGAGUUAAACAGUACGUGAAAUUGUUGAAAGGGAAACGCUUGAAGUCAGUCGCGUUGUCCGGGACUCAGCCUUGCUUCUGCUUGGUGUAUUUCCUGGUUGACGGGCCAACAUCGAUUUUGGACGGCGGAUAAAGGUGAGGGGAAUGUGGCAUCCUCGGAUGUGUUAUAGCCACUCGUCGGAUGCGUCGUCUGGGAUCGAGGACCGCAGCACGCCUUUUUGGCCGGGGUUCGCCCACGUAACGUGCUUAGGAUGUUGGCAUAAU